rnacentral:misc_RNA from 1 species
AACGCACAUUGCGCCCUUCGGUUAUUCCUUAGGGCAUGCCUGUUCGAGCGUCAUUUCAACCUUCAAGCCUGGCUUGGUGUUGGGCGUUGUCCCGCCUCCCCGCGGAAGACUCGCCCCAAAUGAAUUGGCAGCCGCACCCCUCCAGCCGCGAGCGCAGCAAAAACGCGCGAGCCGGCCUGGCGGGGACGGGCGCUCCACGAGACCUUUUUACAAGUCUUGACCUCGGAUCAGGUAGGGAUACCCGCUGAACUUAA